rnacentral:rRNA from 1 species
AGCAGUCGCCACGGUAAUACGUAGGUGGCAAGCGUUGUCCGGAAUUAUUGGGCGUAAAGGGCUCGCAGGCGGUUUCUUAAGUCUGAUGUGAAAGCCCCCGGCUCAACCGGGGAGGGUCAUUGGAAACUGGGAAACUUGAGUGCAGAAGAGGAGAGUGGAAUUCCACGUGUAGCGGUGAAAUGCGUAGAGAUGUGGAGGAACACCAGUGGCGAAGGCGACUCUCUGGUCUGUAACUGACGCUGAGGAGCGAAAGCGUGGGGAGCGGACAGGAUUAGAUACCCCAGUAGUCCCUGUCUCUUAUAC